GACGAACGCUGGCGGCGUGCUUAACACAUGCAAGUCGAACGGAAAGGCCCUGCUUUUGUGGGGUGCUCGAGUGGCGAACGGGUGAGUAACACGUGAGUAACCUGCCCUUGACUUUGGGAUAACUUCAGGAAACUGGGGCUAAUACCGGAUAGGAGCUCCUGCUGCAUGGUGGGGGUUGGAAAGUUUCGGCGGUUGGGGAUGGACUCGCGGCUUAUCAGCUUGUUGGUGGGGUAGUGGCUUACCAAGGCUUUGACGGGUAGCCGGCCUGAGAGGGUGACCGGCCACAUUGGGACUGAGAUACGGCCCAGACUCCUACGGGAGGCAGCAGUGGGGAAUAUUGCACAAUGGGCGGAAGCCUGAUGCAGCACCGCCGCGUGCGGGAUGACGGCCUUCGGGUUGUAAACCGCUUUCGCCUGUGACGAAGCGUGAGUGACGGUAAUGGGUAAAGAAGCACCGGCUAACUACGUG
rnacentral:rRNA from 1 species